UGCCUGGCUAACCCUUCACUUCUUAAGUGA
rnacentral:piRNA from 1 species